CCGUUGGUGAACCAGCGGAGGGAUCAUUACCGAGUUAUACAACUCAUCAACCCUGUGAACAUACCUAUAACGUUGCCUCGGCGGGAACAGACGGCCCCGUAACACGGGCCGCCCCCGCCAGAGGACCCCCUAACUCUGUUUCUAUAAUGUUUCUUCUGAGUAAACAAGCAAAUAAAUUAAAACUUUCAACAACGGAUCUCUUGGCUCUGGCAUCGAUGAAGAACGCAGCGAAAUGCGAUAAGUAAUGUGAAUUGCAGAAUUCAGUGAAUCAUCGAAUCUUUGAACGCACAUUGCGCCCGCCAGUAUUCUGGCGGGCAUGCCUGUUCGAGCGUCAUUACAACCCUCAGGCCCCCGGGCCUGGCGUUGGGGAUCGGCGGAAGCCCCCUGCGGGCACAACGCCGUCCCCCAAAUACAGUGGCGGUCCCGCCGCAGCUUCCAUUGCGUAGUAGCUAACACCUCGCAACUGGAGAGCGGCGCGGCCACGCCGUAAAACACCCAACUUCUGAAUGUUGACCUCGAAUCAGGUA
rnacentral:rRNA from 1 species